rnacentral:rRNA from 1 species
CGGGACGGGUGAGUAAUGUCUGGGAAGCUGCCUGAUGGAGGGGGAUAACUACUGGAAACGGUAGCUAAUACCGCAUAACGUCGCAAGACCAAAGAGGGGGACCUUCGGGCCUCUUGCCAUCGGAUGUGCCCAGAUGGGAUUAGCUAGUAGGUGGGGUAAAGGCUCACCUAGGCGACGAUCCCUAGCUGGUCUGAGAGGAUGACCAGCCACACUGGAACUGAGACACGGUCCAG